rnacentral:lncRNA from 1 species
CUUGUCACACACUUCUGAUUUCAUGAUUUUACCUAUUAAUGUUAGGGGAACACAUUUGGAAUUAUAAACUACUCAUUAAUCAAGUUGAAUUCACAGGUACAAUCUUCCUAAUAGUAUUGAGACCCUAAACAAUUGAACUGGAAAUACAACAAAUCAUCAGGCAUAUAUACUCUUGCUCAAAUUAUAGCUCUCAAAAAACUCAGAUACUAAGACCAAACUCUGCUGGAAAUAAACCAACAAAAUCAUAAUAUGCACUAGCCAUAGACUGAAAAUCGACACUGACCUAAAUAAGUUUAAACAAAGCCAACAAGUUUAAAUUACAAAUCAACACAAUAAGCUAAGUUCCUAAUCCAAACUUGAAAAUGGAAUAUAGCAUUAUUAAUGUAAAUGAGCAAAGGAACACAUAAUGUAAAGCUAACUUAGUACAUAAUUUGGGCAAAACUUUAAAGAGCACGUGAAUAAUCUUUCAGCAAAGCUAAUAUUCAUUCUUAAGUCUCCACACUUGAUUACAUGGUUUCAGAUUUGCACUUCACAUAUUACUCAAGGUCCAAGAAAUGCCUAUAUUUCAAAAUAAGGCAAAAGAGAGUGAGGAUUCAGUAGUAGCAACGUGAGUAACACAGCAAAACAACAGUAGCCACAGCUUCCAAAACUAAACCAUGCUUCAACCCUUUUUUUGUUCGAAAAUUUCAAAGAGUUUCUUCUAGUUUUCUUGUCAAAAUUAGAGAAAUCUUUAGCUAAAAAAUGCAGAAUUUUUUUGUUCCAGAGAAUGAUGCUUUUUGUCUGUCCUUUAGAAUGAAGGAAAGGGCCUGCUUUAUAGGCCUCUCAACCAUGUGCUUAAAACAAAAAAAUGGAAUUAUUCCCAGCUUACAAAAGGUAUCUUUAUAACAAAAUUGGGACAGCUGUCACCCUUUAAUUGAUUUCAGUAUUUGUGCUAGCCAAAUAGGGCCAGCUGCCCCAAAUUCUAGAAGCUUCUAACCUUAACUUUAUCUGAAAAAUCCUAUUUCUAACUUCCAAAUUACCCCCUAAGUUUCUACUUGUUCAAUUAACCACUCGUAAGUUUCUAAUGGUUGAUAAAUUAUGGCAAACAAAACAAUGCAAACAAACAUUGGUAAAAUAGAAUCAAAUAACAAACGAAAAUGCAAUUAAACCUUCAGACUAACCUUAAAUUUAUUUAUCAUGAACCAAAUUAGCCAUGAAACAGAAACAGAAAUAACUCAAACCUAAUACUAACACAAGUUUCAAAAGAAAAGUUAUUAAAGCCCAUUAAUAGAUUACUGGGAGGGGAAAUUCAACAAACAUCUAACUAAGUAUUGAACAUAAAUGCUGAAAUUAGCCUAACUAAAUAGUGCAAACUAAACAAGGAAAGCAGGUAUGGAAACUAAACAUCAACCAGAAAGUAAACAAAAUUAUCAGUGAUUACCCUAGCCAAAUCAUUUGAAUCUUAUGACCUUAAUUAGCUAACCAUGAAAUUCAAAUAAACCCAACCUAUCAAAGGCAACUUACUUAACAAAAAACUGAGAUGAAUGAAAGCCUUAACAACAUAUAUUGUUUUUUGUUUUUAUGGAUGUGAAUCAGCACAAACGAACAAAACAAUAAUAGAAGACAAAAGAACAAGAAGACCAAGAGAGGAAAUACCUACUAAAGGACGAAGAAGAAACGAAAGAACUUGUGCUUGGCUUCGGAUGAUUCAAAAGGCUUGAAGUUGACACAAAUGGUUACUCUGGUAAAGAAUAACCUAAUUGGGCAAACUUCCAGCCAAAUUAGGCAAAACUUCGAGAAAAAUUCCCAAAGAAACAGAAGGGGUCGAACCCUAGAUCCAAAAUUCGACGAGCUUCAAAGACUCCUAGGGGAAAUUGUUGGGUGUUUUGGGUUUGGGGAAGCCGGGUGACUACAGGGUGUGGACUUGGGGCGGUUUGAGUGAGUUAGGGUUUUUGGGGUUGGUACUUUAGAUCUGAAAUCGGAAAAGAUUGGCGGGGAUUUGAAGGAAUUAUUUAGGGAUUUGGAAAGAGGAAAUAAAGGGGAUUUCCUGGUAAAUAUUUGGGGAGGUUUGGACCACCAGAACCGCCAUGAGGCGAUUUCCGGUGGUGGUUAGCGGCGGAGGCGGUGAGGUUCUUUUAGGAGGCUAGGGUUUGGUUCAUGUUGAAAGAGACGUGGGAAUGGUUGGUUUUGAGAGGGGGGGGGUCUGUGUUAGGAUAGUUAUAAGGUUUAAGUUGAUUA